UGAAUUUCCUCACUGAGCUAUCCUUAUUCUACUACUCUUUAUAUCCUUGAUUAACGUUUAAUUAAGCAGUUGUUUCCUGAUCCUCGCCGACGCCGUCCCCGCUUCGAAUACCCUGGAUCAGCCGGGGCUGGACCCCGGCAUACCUCCAUCACCACGGAAGUGUUCCAAGUUCUGGCCGCUGGGUUGGGUUGCAUCACCACUUUUGAAGACUCUGCUGGAGGAAAUCUGAAGCAACAAACCAGAUGCGCUUGGGCAGCUGGCUUCACACCAGUGUUCGAAGCAGGCAAAGCCCCUGCUCGCCCUUCCCCUUUCCUCUCCACGGCUGCUCUGCCCAGAACCAGGACCCUCAGAUCUCCAGAGGAGGAAACUGAGGCUCAGAGACGAGGCAGAGGGGUGCCCGAGGCAGCCUCGGGGGCCUGGGAACAGGAAAGAACUGGCGGCGAGGCCUCCUCCAGCGGACCACCACUUGCUCUGCAAAGGAGUGAGAGCAGCUUGGCGCCCUCCCGUAGAGCUCAGACCCACUGCCUGGACACAGAGCGCCCAGCUGAGAAGAGGAGAAAGCGGGAACCUGCCGGUCCCGCAGAUCCGCCGCCCAUCAGGGCGCUUCCUACACUCUGAGAAGGACAAGCGGAGAGAAGGAGCGCGGGUUCUGUAACUGAAGCCACAUGGGUCCUUGCUUACUCUUUGAAAGCUUCUCCAACGGACGGCCUCUCCUCUCCAGCAGCAUCCCUGCAGGAUGAGCGUGUCCCGGUUCCCAAAAGAAGGCAGGCCUGGGAGCCCGCCAGCCACCCUCAUGUAGACACUGUGAGGCUCUCAGACCCACGGCCAUUACCAGGAUGACCCCAGGAAACCUCACACCGCUCAGCAGAUGACAGGGACGACUUGGGACGGCCACACGCGAGGGCUGAAAGACACCUGCAGAGACGCUUCUCCAUAUCAGGCCCCAUCCUGAGGCCCUGGGUGGACAUGAAAACCAGGGACGCUGUUCAGUCCAGUGCCACGUCGCGUGAAGCCAGCAUCCGGCCGGACCCGUGCAGACGGAGUGCUCUGGGCAGGUCGCUUCCAGCCUCUCGGAGCCCAGCAUCCGGCCGGACCCGUGCAGACGGAGUGCUCUGGGCAGGUCGCUUCCAGCCUCUCGGAGCCCAGCAUCCGGCCGGACCCGUGCAGACGGAGUGCUCUGGGCAGGUCGCUUCCAGCCUCUCGGAGCCCAGCAUCCGGCCGGACCCGUGCAGACGGAGAGCUCUAGGCAGGUCGUUUCCAGUCUCUCAGAGCCUCAAGUGCCACACCUGUUACUCGAGAUGCAUACAGAACUCCUGGCUCCUCCCUGGCCUCUUUGGAGCAGUUCCCCAGAGCCAUCGGAGAAGACGGUUUCCCGGCUAUAGUCCUCAGUAAGGUCCCUCAACAAAGCCAAACUCAAAACGUGUGUGUGUGUUUUCAGUUGCCACGUUCUGGAAUUCCUGGCUGUAAAACGGAUGAAUGUUCACACUGACAAUUACAAACGGCCUCAGGUCAGCGUACAUCAGGUUUCACACCCAAUGACCUGUCGGGGGAAAAUGUGCCUUGUGGAGACUUUUGUGUUUCCAAAUUGUGAAUCCAGGGUCUUGGAGAGAGAUACACGCGCAGACUGAACUCAAAGGAUGCUUAGGUGGUGGAGCCCGCCCUGCCCGCCCUGGAAGGAACACGGGCGUUACUGUGCCGUCAUCCGUGGUCAAGGGACUGCCUUCAAUCAACAGCUUCUUGCUGAUGGACAUAUCAGUUCU
ensembl:lncRNA